rnacentral:rRNA from 1 species
GUUGCUUAACACAUAGCAAGUCGAACGAUGAACCCGGAGCUUGCUCCGGUGGAUUAGUGGCGAACGGGUGAGUAACACGUGAGUAACCUGCCCUUGACUCUGGGAUAACUGCUAGAAAUGGUAGCUAAUACCGGAUACGACAUGGCAUCAUGAUGUAGUUAAAGCUCCGGCGGUUAAGGAUGGGCAUGCGGUACAUUAGCUAGUUGGUGAGGUAAUGGCUCACCAAGGCUACGAUGUAUAGGGGGUCUGAGAGGAUGAUCCCCCACACUGGUACUGAGACACGGACCAGACUCCUACGGGAGGCAGCAGUAGGGAAUAUUGGUCAAUGGACGCAAGUCUGAACCAGCCAUGCCGCGUGAAGGAUGAAGGCCCUAUGGGUCGUAAACUUCUUUUAUUAGGGAAGAAAAAAUGGGAUGCGUCCUAUACUGACGGUACUUAAUGAAUAAGGAUCGGCUAACUUCGUG